AGAGUUUGAUCCUGGCUCAGGACGAACGCUGGCGGCGUGCUUAACACAUGCAAGUCGAACGGUGAAGUCCCUUCGGGGAUGGAUCAGUGGCGAACGGGUGAGUAACACGUGGGCAAUCUGCCCCUCACUGUGGGAUAACUCCGGGAAACCGGGGCUAAUACCGCAUAUGAAGCCUGGCGGCAUCGCCGGGUUUGGAAAGUUUUUCGGUGAGGGAUGAGCCCGCGGUCUAUCAGCUUGUUGGUGAGGUAAUGGCUCACCAAGGCGACGACGGGUAGCCGGCCUGAGAGGGCGACCGGCCACACUGGGACUGAGACACGGCCCAGACUCCUACGGGAGGCAGCAGUGGGGAAUAUUGGGCAAUGGGCGAAAGCCUGACCCAGCGACGCCGC
rnacentral:rRNA from 1 species